AAACCAACCAGGAUUCCCUUAGUAACGGCGAGCGAACCGGGAAGAGCCCAGCAUGGUAAUCUGCUCCCUUCGGGGAGCCGAAUUGUAGUCUGGAGGGCGGUGCUCCGCGGGGUCCGCGCGCCAAGUCUGCUGGAAAGCAGCGUCUGAGAGGGUGACAACCCCGUCCGCGCGCGGCCGCCCCGCUUCUCGAGCCCGUCCCGCUGAGUCGGGUUGCUUGGGAAUGCAGCUCAAAGUCGGUGGUAAAUCCCAUCGAAGGCUAAAUACUGGCGGGAGACCGAUAGCGAACAAGUACCGUGAGGGAAAGAUGAAAAGAACUUUGAAAAGAGAGUUAAAAAGUGCCUGAACUUGUUGAGAGGGAAGCGAUGUGGACUCGUCCCUUCUUCCUCUGGCCGAUGGCGCGGUUUCUCCGCGCCUUGACGCCUCUGGAUGGGCCAGCGUGGGUUGCGGGUCGUCGCACGAACGUGGGUAGCCGCGCGCUCCCUCCUUUGCGCGAUCCGCGACCGAGGUUCAAGGGGGCGGGCUUUCGGGCCCGACUCUUCGGAGUUCUGCCCCUCUCCGGACUGCUGGCCGAGACGACCUCAUCGGC
rnacentral:rRNA from 1 species